rnacentral:rRNA from 1 species
AUUGAACGCUGGCGGCAGGCCUAACACAUGCAAGUCGAGCGGAGCGGCGGUCGGGUGAGUAAUGGCUAGGAAUCUGACUGGGAGUGGGGGAUGACGUCCGGAAACGGGAGCUAAAACCGCUUAGUAUCAGAUGAGCCUAGGUCGGAUUAGCUAGUUGGUGGGGUAAGGGCAUACGAAGGCGACGAUCCGUAACUGGUCUGAGAGGAUGAUCAGUCACACUGGAACUGAGACACGGUCCAGACUCCUACGGGAGGCAGCAGUGGGGAAUAUUGGACAAUGGGCGCAAGCCUGAUCCAGCCAUGCCGCGUGUAUGAAGAAGGUCUUCGGAUUGUAAAGCACUUUAAGUUGGGAGGCGUUACCAACAGAAUAAGCACCGGCUAACUUCGUGCCAGCAGCCGCGGUAAUUC